rnacentral:tRNA from 1 species
GCGGAAGUGGCGGAAUUGGUAGACGCACCAGCUUGAGGGGCUGGCGGUAGCAAUAUCGUGCUGGUUCGAGUCCAGUCUUCCGCACCA